rnacentral:antisense_RNA from 1 species
CUCUAUGGCAGAUCGCGUGGGGAGACCCUCGGGUCUGCCGGGUCCUAUCGCCGGUCUGUCAACCCCGCGCGGUCUGCCACCCUU